rnacentral:rRNA from 1 species
UACGAAGGGGGCUAGCGUUGUUCGGAGUUACUGGGCGUAAAGGGCGCGUAGGCGGUACUUCAAGUCAGGCGUGAAAGCCCCGGGCUCAACCUGGGAACCGCGCUUGAGACUGGAGAACUAGAGUUCGGGAGAGGAUGGUGGAAUUCCCAGUGUAGAGGUGAAAUUCGUAGAUAUUGGGAAGAACACCGAUGGCGAAGGCAGCCAUCUGGACCGACACUGACGCUGAGGCGCGAAAGCGUGGGGAGCAAACAGG